rnacentral:rRNA from 1 species
AUUGAACGCUGGCGGCAGGCCUAACACAUGCAAGUCGAGCGGAGCGGCGGACGCGGGAGUAAUGCCUAUGAAUCUGCCUGUUCGUGGGGGAUAACGUUCGGAAACGGGCGCUAUUACUGCAUCCUAUUACAUUAGCCUAUGUCGGAUUAGCUAGUUGGUGGGGUAAAGGCCUACCAAGGCGACGAUCCGUAACUGGUCUGAGAGGAUGAUCAGUCACACUGGAACUGAGACACGGUCCAGACUCCUACGGGAGGCAGCAGUGGGGAAUAUUGGACAAUGGGCGAAAGCCUGAUCCAGCCAUGCCGCGUGUGUGAAGAAGGUCUUCGGAUUGUAAAGCACUUUAAGUUGGGAGGCGUUACCAACAGAAUAAGCACCGGCUAACUUCGUGCCAGCAGCCGCGGUAAUAC